rnacentral:rRNA from 1 species
UACAGAGGGCGCGAGCGUUGUUCGGAUUCAUUGGGCGUAAAGGGCGCGUAGGCGGCGGGGCAAGUCGGGUGUGAAAUCUCAGAGCUCAACUCUGAAACUGCACUCGAUACUGCUUUGCUUGAGGACUGGAGAGGAGAGUGGAAUUCACGGUGUAGCAGUGAAAUGCGUAGAUAUCGUGAGGAACACCAGUGGCGAAGGCGGAUCUCUGGACAGUUCCUGACGCUGAGGCACAAAGGCCAGGGGAGCAAACGGG